rnacentral:rRNA from 1 species
GUAGGUGGCAAGCGUUGUCCGGAAUUAUUGGGCGUAAAGCGCGCGCAGGCGGUUCUUUAAGUCUGAUGUGAAAGCCCACGGCUCAACCGUGGAGGGUCAUUGGAAACUGGAGAACUUGAGUACAGAAGAGGAAAGCGGAAUUCCACGUGUAGCGGUGAAAUGCGUAGAGAUGUGGAGGAACACCAGUGGCGAAGGCGGCUUUCUGGUCUGUAACUGACGCUGAGGCGCGAAAGCGUGGGGAGCAAACAGGGAUUAGAUACCCUGGUAGUCCACGCCGUAAACGAUGAGUGCUAAGUGUUAGGGGGUUUCCGCCCCCUUAGUGCUGCAGCUAACGCAUUAAGCACUCCGCCCUGGGGAGUACGGCCGCAAGGCUG